CCUACGGGUGGCAGCAGUGGGGAAUUUUGGACAAUGGGCGCAAGCCUGAUCCAGCCAUGCCGCGUGCGGGAAGAAGGCCUUCGGGUUGUAAACCGCUUUUGUCAGGGAAGAAACGGCUUUCUCUAAUACAGGAGGCUAAUGACGGUACCUGAAGAAUAAGCACCGGCUAACUACGUGCCAGCAGCCGCGGUAAUACGUAGGGUGCAAGCGUUAAUCGGAAUUACUGGGCGUAAAGCGUGCGCAGGCGGUUAUGCAAGACAGAGGUGAAAUCCCCGGGCUCAACCUGGGAACUGCCUUUGUGACUGCAUGACUAGAGUACGGUAGAGGGGGAUGGAAUUCCGCGUGUAGCAGUGAAAUGCGUAGAUAUGCGGAGGAACACCGAUGGCGAAGGCAAUCCCCUGGACCUGUACUGACGCUCAUGCACGAAAGCGUGGGGAGCAAACAGGAUUAGAUACCCGUGUAGUC
rnacentral:rRNA from 1 species